rnacentral:rRNA from 1 species
GAAUCUGCCCUCAGGAGGGGGAUAACGGUUGGAAACGACCGCUAAUACCCCAUAUGCCGGGAGGUGAAAUGAAAUUCGCCUGAGGACGAGCUCGCGUCUGAUUAGCUAGUUGGCAAGGUAAUGGCUUACCAAGGCAUUGAUCAGUAGCUGGUCUGAGAGGAUGAUCAGCCACACUGGGACUGAGACACGGCCCAGACUCCUACGGGAGGCAGCAGUGGGGAAUUUUCCGCAAUGGGCGCAAGCCUGACGGAGCAACGCCGCGUGAGGGAUGAAGGCCUCUGGGCUGUAAACCUCUUUUAUCAAGGAAGAAGAACUGACGGUACUUGAUGAAUAAGCCACGGCUAAUUCCGUGCCAGCAGCCGCGGUAAUACGGGAGUGGCAAGCGUUAUCCGGAAUUAUUGGGCGUAAAGCGUCCGCAGGCGGUUUUACAAGUCUGUCGUUAAAGCGUGGAGCUCAACUCCAUUUCAGCGAUGGAAACUGUAAGACUCGAGUGUGGUAGGGGCAGAGGGAAUUCCCGGNGUAGCGGUGAAAUGCGUAGAUAUCGGGAAGAACACCAGUGGNGAAAGCGCUNUGCUGGGCCAUAACUGACGCUCAUGGNNGAAAGCCANGNGNNCG